rnacentral:rRNA from 1 species
AUACGAGGGGUGCAAGCGUUAAUCGGAAUUACUGGGCGUAAAGCGUUCGUAGGCGGUUUGUUAAGCAAGAUGUGAAAGCCCUGGGCUCAACCUGGGAACUGCAUUUUGAACUGGCAAGCUAGAAUACUGUAGAGGGUGGUGGAAUUUCCAGUGUAGCGGUGAAAUGCGUAGAGAUUCGAAGGAACACCAGUGGCGAAGGCGGCCACCUGGACAGAUAUUGACGCUGAGGAACGAAAGCGUGGGGAGCGAACAGGAUUAGAAACCCGGGUAGUCC